AAAUUGAAGAGUUUGAUCAUGGCUCAGAUUGAACGCUGGCGGCAGGCCUAACACAUGCAAGUCGAGCGGUAGCACAGAGAGCUUGCUCUCGGGUGACGAGCGGCGGACGGGUGAGUAAUGUCUGGGAAACUGCCUGAUGGAGGGGGAUAACUACUGGAAACGGUAGCUAAUACCGCAUAACGUCGCAAGACCAAAGUG
rnacentral:rRNA from 1 species